rnacentral:rRNA from 1 species
UGGUGGGUUGCCUUGUCAGGUUGAUUCCGGUAACGAACGAGACCUCAGGGAGCUUGUUGGGCGGGGGCGGUGGGCCCGUCCCACCCCCCCGCCUCCAAGCCCGACUCUUGGCGACUAGCCAAGGGAAGUUUGAGGCAAUAACA